rnacentral:rRNA from 1 species
GACGAACGCUGGCGGCGUGCCUAAUACAUGCAAGUUGAGCGCUGAAGGUUGGUACUUGUACCAACUGGAUGAGCAGCGAACGGGUGAGUAACGCGUGGGGAAUCUGCCUUUGAGCGGGGGACAACAUUUGGAAACGAAUGCUAAUACCGCAUAAAAACUUUAAACACAAGUUUUAAGUUUGAAAGAUGCAAUUGCAUCACUCAAGGAUGAUCCCGCGUUGUAUUAGCUAGUUGGUGAGGUAAAGGCUCACCAAGGCGAUGAUACAUAGCCGACCUGAGAGGGUGAUCGGCCACAUUGGGACUGAGACACGGCCCAAACUCCUACGGGAGGCAGCAGUAGGGAAUCUUCGGCAAUGGACGAAAGUCUGACCGAGCAACGCCGCGUGAGUGAAGAAGGGUUUCGGAUCGUAAAACUCUGUUGGUAGAGAAGAACGUUGGUGAGAGUGGAAAGCUCAUCAAGUGACGGUAACUACCCAGAAAGGGACGGCUAACUACGUG